rnacentral:rRNA from 1 species
CAGUCGCCGCGGUAAUACAGAGGAUGCAAGCGUUAUCCGGAAUGAUUGGGCGUAAAGCGUCUGUAGGUGGCUUUUCAAGUCAGUCGUCAAAUCCCUGGGCUCAACCCUGGACAAGCAGUGGAAACUACCAAGCUGGAGUAUAGUAGGGGCAGAGUGAAUUUCCGGUGGAGCGAUGAAAUGCGUUGAGAUCAGAAAGAACACCAACGGCGAAAGCACUCUGCUGGGCCGACACUGACACUGAGAGACGAAAGCUAGGGGAGCAAAUGGGAUUAGAUACCCCGGUAGUCCCUGUCUCUUAUAC